UACGAAGGGGGCGAGCGUUGUUCGGAAUUACUGGGCGUAAAGGGCGCGUAGGCGGCCCCUUUUGUCGCGUGUGAAAGCCCCGGGCUCAACCUGGGAGGUGCGCGCGAAACGGGGGGGCUUGAGACCGGGAGAGGUGAGUGGAAUUCCCAGUGUAGCGGUGAAAUGCGUAGAUAUUGGGAGGAACACCAGUGGCGAAGGCGGCUCACUGGACCGGAACUGACGCUGAGGCGCGAAAGCGUGGGGAGCAAACAGG
rnacentral:rRNA from 1 species